ensembl:lncRNA
UAUGGGGGAAGUCCUUGUGUGUAUAUGUUUGUCUUUUUUGGUUGAUAAAUAAAGCACUGUUGGCCAAUAGGGAAUCAAGUUAGGUGGGACUAGGAGUCAAGGAGGAUUCUGGGAAAUGUAGUAAAGAGAAGUCUUGUGAUCCAGGAAGGAAGUGACAUAGUAGGCAGACUUAUAAGUCUGGAGAAGCAGGAAAUCACUCUCUUCCUUCCCCUCUCUUCUCUGGGAGCUGCCAUGUGAGCCCAACAAGAGAGGAAGCAUGCUGUCGGCGUCCUCGAUCAGAUAAGUCUUUAUAAAAUAUAUAGAUUAAUAAUUAUGGUUGAUACUUAAGACAGAGAUAGGAGAUAAGAAAUCCUAGGCAUUGGCCAGCAGCAUUGUACCUAAUAUUAAUCUCUGUGUGUUAUUUGGGGCCCUAACAUGGCGGCAGGCAGGGCUCGGGCGGCUUGGAGGAAAGGCUUAUCGUUACAUCUUUCUGUUAGUAUCAUUCAUUUGAAAACUGAGCAUUUGGAGGGAAAAUGUCCCCUUUGGGGUUUUGUCUAGAAGAACUACACUAGCAAAACCAGGGUAGGAAUUAAAGUAUUCCCUGAGUGUGCAUCUUCCUUGAAUUACCCAUACCCUCCUCUCAUCUUCAUUUCCCCAUAUACAUGGCUACACCAAAAAUUUGUUUCCUUAAUCUUUUCUUCUGCUUCUUGCUGGGUGGGGGGGCUAUGGAUCUGUGAACCAAAUUCUCAAUUGUACACACACACUGUAACCUCUGUCUGUUGUCUCUUGUCCUCUAUAACCGGCAAGUUACAGUUCUCUUUGGUGACAUAAUACCUAUAGCUGAUUUAGAUAUUUCCAAAAGGAUAUCCAAGCCAUGCCAGAGUCUCAAUGACGCUUUAAGCCAGUUGAAACAAAGUUUAGAACCAUGUGCUGCCUUCUUAGAUUAGCUUAGAUGCUGCAAUGAAGUUUGAUUCUUUCUCCUAUAGCAGUGUAAAAGAUGGGCAUGGAACAGCCUCCUCCUGACUUUACAAUGCACAAGGAGGUGCUAAGGCAAGGGAUCCUGAUUGAGAACUGAUUUGCCAUGAGAAUUCACCAUGGAGUGUAAAGGGCAUUUUCAGUGAAACUGGAUAGAUCAGAGCUGUAUUUCAUUUAAGCAAUUAUACUUUAAUGGAGUCAUUUGGAAGACUGCCAAGAAGUUGCAUACAGCAAUAUGCAACUAGAACCAAAAAUACCCAGUACCCACUUGGCCAAGCACAACCCUUCCAAGGGCCACCCAUUGGCACAGAAGAGAGCUCCGAUCAGAUGUGUUCUGCAUCACCCAUUUUCUGGAGGUCUGGAGUAAGGCCUGCUGGCAGGCUCCAACAGAGAAUUAGCCAUUGUGAGCUAAUGUACUGUGACCAAGAUGCACUGUUGACCUUUAUAGCAACAUGGAUUCCAAAGCUGUACCUAUUGGCUAGGAGCUGCCCUGCCACAGAGGGGAGAGACUGGGAAGAUAUUAAAUAUAGUGGCACCAACUGAGCACUCAAGGGAUGGGGUAUUUAAUUCACUUCAUCGACAGAACAUUUAGCCUUGAAGCACAAGGCCCUGGUUGAUACCCUCAUGACCAUGUGGCUGGAGAGGUGUUGUUACAGCCAGAUGCAUUGCAAGAUUGCCAGUCCUGGGCCUCUGGAACUUUAUCCACUCAUGACCCUUUUCAUUCAAGAAUCUUCUACAUAACCCAAGUAUAAAGGAGCUGGACUAUGGUGGCCUCGGCCAAGCUCAUGAAUGUCUGAAACAUCCCUCCGUGUGAUCUCCCUUCAUUCAAAAGAUUAAUCUGACCUGUUCAAGAAAGGGGAAGAGGAGUUGAAAUCUCUCAAGACCUGGGCUCAGGAAUCAUUAAAUUACUUCUCUUCUCUCACAAAACAAAGUCACAAGACCAGCCUAGAUGAGAACAGGAGAGAAAUAGAGUCCAUGCCUCAAUAGAGGAAGGCUGAAGGCAGUGCCAAACACAUGGGUGACCCAAAAGGAAGCAAGGGAGAAGGAGAAUGGGAAAGAGGAAGGAGAAAGAAACAAGAAAUCCUUCUUUGGCUCCCAGGCCCUCUAUUUUCUGUUUUCGGAACAGUUCAGCAUAGUAACAAACCUCAAAUGUGCACAGCCUUCAGCUUUGAGCUAUGGGACUGCUGGGGGUCAUACAGACCUGCUCUGCCACUCUGAGGAGAAACCAGACCCUGGAAAACAAGGCUUCCUCCCUUCAACCCGGGGAGCUCAGAAAGGCGACAGUUUACCACAGCUGCAAUCUAGGCUGAAGAGACGGAAAACUGAUGCUCUCAGACUGAUGAGAGCUUCCAAAGGACAUCUGGAUGUACUGGGUGAGCACUUCCUCCCAGCCCACCUUUGUUUAUCAUCACAAGCAGCUUCUCCAAGUGGCCCAGAGGAGAGCAGGGUCUGGAAGAGCAUGUACCUCUCUCUGGCCCCAGCACCACGCAGCUGUGUCAUUUGGAGCCUCUCACUCAAUCUCUAUGCUGGGAUUUAU